AGAUGAGGAGACUGAAGCACAGAGAAAUUAACCAACAUCACCACAUUCACUUCAAGUGAUGGAUGUGAGCUUCAAACACAGAUAUUCUGACUCCUAACUUCCCUGCCGUUAGCUGCUCCAGCAUGCUGAAAUCUGGUUCUAACAACCACAUUCACAGGAAGUGGAAGAAUCUGACAGUGACACCAGAAUGACAAGUCAGAAGGGAAAGUGAAGGAUUCAGCCUUUACAAGGCGUGACUUCUUAAUCCUGUAUUGACAUGGAAUGAUACUCUAGUCAUCUUGGCUUGAUCUAGUGUGCCUCAUUGUCCUGAUCAGAAAAAUCAGAAACUUUGGGGGACCUGAAACAUCAUCUCUCUGGACUUGUUGCAAAGGUGGUGCCUGUCCCAGCUGAACAGCUGAAUAAACCUAGGACUUCGUGUGUGCUAAACAGACGGUGGCCUUUUUCCACAACAGAAGUUGUUAUUUCCUUGUGGACAAUAUACAGAAAUGUGUGCCGAGUGUCAGCACAAUCAAGGAUUACCAAGCUGGCUGAAAACAAUUGUGCUCAAAGAAUGCUGAUCAAUGAAUUGAGGUCACCCUGA
rnacentral:lncRNA from 1 species